CCUACGGUAGGCAGCAGUGGGGGAUAUUGCACAAUGGGGGAAACCCUGAUGCAGCGACGCCGCGUGGGUGAAGAAGUAUUUCGGUAUGUAAAGCCCUAUCAGCAGGGAAGAAAGAAGACGGUACUUGACUAAGAAGCCUCGGCUAACUACGUGCCAGCAGCCGCGGUAAUACGUAGGGGGCGAGCGUUAUCCGGAUUCACUGGGUGUAAGGGGAGCGUAGACGGCCGUGCAAGCCAGGAGUGAAAGCCCGGGACCCAAGGCCGGGACUGCCCUUGAAACUGUUCGGCUAGAGUGCGGAUGGGGCAGGCGGAAUGCGUGGUGUAGCGGUGAAAUGCGUAGAUAUCAGGCAGAACACCGACGGCGAAGGCAGCCUGC
rnacentral:rRNA from 1 species